rnacentral:lncRNA from 1 species
AAAGUCCACAAAUUAUUUGAUGUUCCAGAUUUCCUUUUUCUUAAACAGUAAGAUCUGAGUUAAGUGAGACUAUUACAGAUUUCUAAAUAAAACCAGCUGUACUUCUAGAAGUGUGAGGAGGAAGAAGCUUGGAAACCCGAUGGCUGAUUUUUAACUCUGCAGCUCUAAACUUUUCAGAUUCAUUCUACUUGAUUUAUCAUUUAUUGUAAAAAAUAACUCAAAUUUAGGUAGCAAUACAACCAAUAAAACAAAAGCAUUGGUUCUUUAAUGAUUUCUCAUGGACUGAUAGCAUUGAAACAAUUGUAGUGUUGUUUUUUCCUCCUUUCACAGCAAUUUUCAAAUUAUGAAAAUUGACUAUUCCAAUCCUAAGCAAUCUGAAAAGAAAGUCUACCCCUUUGAUUCACUCUCUGUCCUGCUACACCGCUCAGAAAAAUUUAUCUGAGUAGUCUGUGCUGCUUUUCAUUGAUCUGAGAGUGAAGGUGAAGAGAUGACAAUGAUACCAACAGGAUUUGGUGCUGUGAACAAUUAAGCUUCUCUUCACUUUCCUCUCCUAAUUUUCUUGUGUUUUCUCUGGCUUUAAGUUUCUUGAUGUGGGUCUUUUAAACUUGAACUUCACAAAGAGUAUUUGUCAAAUGAUGAUGGAAGAAAUACGUUUACUCCAAAUGGCUGGUGCGCUUGUUCCUUUCCUUGCAGGAUAUUCUGGGGCAAUGUAACUUGUGAGCAAUUCAGUGACAGCAAGCCAAUCCUUGGCUGGGCACACGCCUCUGUGGAUAAAUGUGCUGUGCUGCUUGACCUCUGGACCUGUGAAACUGCUCUCAUGGAAAAAGU